rnacentral:rRNA from 1 species
UACGUAGGGGGCGAGCGUUUGUCCGGAAUUAUUGGGCGUAAAGAGCUCGUAGGCGGUCUGUCGCGUCGGCUGUGAAAACCCGGGGCUCAACCCCGGGCCUGCAGUCGAUACGGGCAGACUAGAGUGCGGUAGGGGAGACUGGAAUUCCUGGUGUAGCGGUGAAAUGCGCAGAUAUCAGGAGGAACACCGGUGGCGAAAGCGAACUGCUGGACCUCUUCUGACACUGAUGCGCGAAAGCUAGGGGAGCAAACGGG